GACGAACGCUGGCGGCGUGCUUAACACAUGCAAGUCGAGCGGAAAGGCCUCUUCGGGGGUACUCGAGCGGCGAACGGGUGAGUAACACGUGAGUAAUCUGCCCUUCACUCUGGGAUAGCCACCGGAAACGGUGAUCAAUACCGGAUACGACACGCGGCCGCCUGGUCUGUGUGGGGAAACUAUUUGGGUGGGGGAUGUGCUCGCGGCCUAUCAGCUUGUUGGUGGGGUAAUGGCCUACCAAGGCUUCGACGGGUAGCCGGCCUGAGAGGGUGACCGGCCACACUGGGACUGGGACACGGCCGAGACUCCUACGGGAGGCAGCAGUGGGGAAUAUUGGACAAUGGGCGGAAGCCUGAUCCAGCAACGCCGCGUGAGGGAUGACGGCCUUCGGGUUGUAAACCUCUUUCAGCACCGACGAAGCGAUCCUUUGGGGAGUGACGGUAGGUGCAGAAGAAGGACCGGCCAACUACGUGCCAGCCGCCGCGGUAAAAC
rnacentral:rRNA from 1 species